rnacentral:rRNA from 1 species
GGGUGAGUAACGCGUGAGAAUCUACCAAAAGGACCGGGACAACCACUGGAAACGGUGGCUAAUACCGGAUGAGCCGCAACGUAAAAAGGGAAACCUGCCUUUUGAAGAGCUCGCGUCUGAUUGGCUAGUUGGUGAGGUAAGAGCUCACCAAGGCAGCGAUCAGUAGCUGGUCUGAGAGGAUGACCAGCCACACUGGGACUGAGACACGGCCCAGACUCCUACGGGAGGCAGCAGUGGGGAAUUUUCCGCAAUGGGCGAAAGCCUGACGGAGCAAGACCGCGUGAGGGAAGAAGGCUCUUGGGUCGUAAACCUCUUUUAUCAGGGAAGAAAAAACUGACGGUACCUGAAGAAUCAGCCUCGGCUAACUCCGUGCCAGCAGCCGCGGUAAUACGGAGGAGGCAAGCGUUAUCCGGAAUUAUUGGGCGUAAAGCGUCCGCAGGUGGCUUAUCAAGUCUGCUGUCAAAGAGUGGGGCUUAACCCCAUAAAGGCAGUGGAAACUGAGAAGCUAGAGUGCCGUAGGGGUAGAGGGAAUUCCCGGUGUAGCGGUGAAAUGCGUAGAGAUCGGGAAGAACAUCGGUGGCGAAAGCGCUCUACUGGACGGCAACUGACACUCAGGGACGAAAGCUAGGGGAGCGAAUGGGAUUAGAUACCCCAGUAGUCCUAGC